rnacentral:rRNA from 1 species
UACAUGCAAGUCGAGCGGACAGAUGGGAGCUUGCUCCCUGAUGUUAGCGGCGGACGGGUGAGUAACACGUGGGUAACCUGCCUGUAAGACUGGGAUAACUCCGGGAAACCGGGGCUAAUACCGGAUGGUUGUUUGAACCGCAUGGUUCAAACAUAAAAGGUGGCUUCGGCUACCACUUACAGAUGGACCCGCGGCGCAUUAGCUAGUUGGUGAGGUAACGGCUCACCAAGGCAACGAUGCGUAGCCGACCUGAGAGGGUGAUCGGCCACACUGGGACUGAGACACGGCCCAGACUCCUACGGGAGGCAGCAGUAGGGAAUCUUCCGCAAUGGACGAAAGUCUGACGGAGCAACGCCGCGUGAGUGAUGAAGGUUUUCGGAUCGUAAAGCUCUGUUGUUAGGGAAGAACAAGUACCGUUCGAAUAGGGCGGUACCUUGACGGUACCUAACCAGAAAGCCACGGCUAACUACGUGCCAGCAGCCGCGGUAAUACGUAGGUGGCAAGCGUUGUCCGGAAUUAUUGGGCGUAAAGGGCUCGCAGGCGGUUUCUUAAGUCUGAUGUGAAAGCCCCCGGCUCAACCGGGGAGGGUCAUUGGAAACUGGGGAACUUGAGUGCAGAAGAGGAGAGUGGAAUUCCACGUGUAGCGGUGAAAUGCGUAGAGAUGUGGAGGAACACCAGUGGCGAAGGCGACUCUCUGGUCUGUAACUGACGCUGAGGAGCGAAAGCGUGGGGAGCGAACAGGAUUAGAUACCCUGGUAGUCCACGCCGUAAACGAUGAGUGCUAAGUGUUAGGGG